CAGCAGCCGCGGUAAUACGUAGGGUGCAAGCGUUAAUCGGAAUUACUGGGCGUAAGGCGUGCGCAGGCGGUGUUGUAAGACUGAUGUGAAAUCCCCGGGCUCAACCUGGGAACUGCAUUGGUGACUGCAACGCUGGAGUGCGGCAGAGGGGGAUGGAAUUCCGCGUGUAGCAGUGAAAUGCGUAGAUAUGUGGAGGAACACCGAUGGCGAAGGCAGCCCCCUGGGAUAAUACUGACGCUCAUGCACGAAAGCGUGGGGAGCAAACAGGAUUAGAUACCCCUGUAGUCCCUGUCUCUUAUAC
rnacentral:rRNA from 1 species